rnacentral:lncRNA from 1 species
UUUUUUCCUUGUCGUAGAUGAACAUGUCGAGGUAAAACAAAAAGGACCCUACUCUCUCUCAAACGAGCCCACCGCCGUGUCUCCACCGACUGCGUGUUUUCCGGCAUCGUUGGUCCUCCGGUGUUCAUCUGGGCGACGAUUGAAGACUGAAUCAAUAGGUACGUUGCUCUACUCUUUUUUGUGAUUGAAAUUAUGUCUUUUUCUCAUCUCAAGUCACAAUUUUUGUUACUCGUUUAGAGAUUUGCGUUCAUAUAAACACAAAUUAGAUUUGAGACUUGUAAAUCGAUGUGAAUCUUUUUGUUCUCUCGAUUUAGUUGCAAGUCACAAUUUCAAUUUGCAUGUAGAGUUGUUAAUAUCUUUGAAUUCGUGAAAUUCGAUUAGAGGUUUCAAUUCGGUGAGUUUUAAAAUUCCAAAUUUAAAUUGAAUGUAGAUUGAAUAAGUCUUUCGCUCUUUGAUUCCAAAUUACAAUCGAAGUGAUCUUUUUGUUCUCUUUUUGAUCUGUUAAGUCCACUAUUUGUGUGUGUGUGUGUGUGUCGUGAGUAGCUCAAGUACGUGUCUUGUUUUUUUUUUUUAGUUAUAGGGUUUGUCUUCUGUAAAUCUUUUUAGCUAAAGCCAUCCACAUAUCGCCAUUGGAAAUAUUUCAAUUGCAUGUAGAUUGAUUAAGUCUUCUAUCUCUUUGAUUCAUGUUAAUGUAUAUGUGUUUGUGUUGGAAUUCAUUGAUUUAAACAGAGUUUAUGAAGAUUGUUUCAGAGAAUUGUUGUUUCGGGCUUCACAUGUUGCUUUAUUUUUGGUUCUGUUCUUUGAAAUUUGUGUUACUCGUUUAGAGAUUUCAAUUUUUGUUUGUUGUAAAACUCCAAAUUUUAAUUGCUAAUUAAUUUAUUAAGUCCUCUAGCUCUUUGAAUCACCUUUGUGUAUAAUCGUGUAGAUGUCUCCAUUUAGUGAGAUAUACAUGUCUCAAUUUUAAUUGCAUGUAGUUUUAUAAGUUCUUUCGAUUCGGGUUAGUGUAUGUAUUUGUAUGUGUUAUAUAUUUAUAAGAGAAAUAAGUUCUGAAACUUAACAAAUCAGUUCUGGAUAUUUCUCUUAGUUUAGUUUAGGAGAGCACUUUCAGUUUAACUUGAAAAUAUCUGCAUAGCAAACUAAUUAGUCACUUUCAUGACUGAUUACGUAUUCAAUUCUAUAAAUACUAACUUGUUUUUAAAAAUAAUUGUAUUGCAGGAAAUAGAUGCAGUACUGUACUUACAUCCGGAGUCCACAUCUUUACGCCGACUGAAUUCAGCUCGUGCUAAUUAAUUAAUUAAUUAAGCAUUUUUUGAAAGUAAGUUUAUUGAGUUCGUCUCUAAUAUCUCCUUUUAGCUCGAGCAAGAUGAUUUUUUGUUCUCCACUCCUUCU